rnacentral:tRNA from 1 species
GGGGUUGUGGUGUAGCUUGGUUAGCAUUCCACCCUUGGGCGGUGGAGGUCUCAGGUCCGAAUCCUGACAACCCCA